UACGUAGGGUGCGAGCGUUAAUCGGAAUUACUGGGCGUAAAGCGUGCGCAGGCGGUUUGUUAAGACAGAUGUGAAAUCCCCGGGCUUAACCUGGGAACUGCAUUUGUGACUGGCAAGCUAGAGUAUGGCAGAGGGGGGUAGAAUUCCACGUGUAGCAGUGAAAUGCGUAGAGAUGUGGAGGAAUACCGAUGGCGAAAGGCAGCCCCCUGGGCCCAAUGACUGACGCUCAUGCACGAAAGCGUGGGGAGCAAACGAAGG
rnacentral:rRNA from 1 species